GGAAGUAUGGCAGAGUGGCCGAAUGCACUUGUCUUGAAAACAAGCGAUGGGAGACCAUCCGGGGGUUCAAAUCCCUCUACUUCCGCCA
rnacentral:tRNA from 2 species